GCCAGAACAGCCUCCAGCAUCUCUCAUCCGACGCGGCAUUGUUAGCCCCGCCUUCCUCAGCUGCUAAGCCCCGCCCCUAGCGUCUUCCUCCGCAAAAAAUUGUUGAAAUUUGUUCAUGUCCCUCCGCUGGGAGCUGUAUCUAAAAAGAGCUACCCGUGGGCCUGCUCUUGUUUCCCACCUAAAACUUCAGUUUCUUGUUUAAUUUCCCAAGAUUGUAACUUCUUUCUAGUGUAAGGAUCUUUAGAAAGAAACCUGAGUGGGUGGGAGGUAAAUAUAAAUCACGAUGUUAUGACUCAAGUUUGUGACACACAUCGAAUCUCAAGCAAUAAAUAGUCCUUUGAAAGAUGGAUGCAAAAUAGAGCACCUGAAAGAACAGAGAACAGCUUACUCUCCUGUGCCAUGCUCCUAUUGCCUUGUCACCGUAAAGGAGAGCUAACUGCAAACCACACGCACCAGAAAAAUUCCUUCUGUCCUUUUAUCAGUUUCUAUAUCUAGGACACCCUGACUGCAUUGCUGAAGGCCUCAGAGAGCAGGAAGAGGGAUGAAACGACACAGUAUUUUAGCCCUUGUGAAAGGAGUAUGAGAAUUUCUUGAUCGCAGGCUCCUACACGCUAAAAGGCUUUGGCAGCUCCAAGGGGCUUGGGCCAGCGGAAGGUCAGUAAAUUUAAACUGCACUAGCUCUCAGCUAAAUAGGCCUUUCUGAUUCAAAGGGAACACACUAAAAACCAGAGAGCCAAAAGACAGACAAGAUUUUGAAGUAUUUUCACCAAACAACACUGCACCCAGGCUGAAGCAAAGCUCCAAGAACCAUGGCUCCAUCAACAGAAGAAUUUCAACCACACAUCUGACAAAAUGCACCGCCUACAGGCACCCGCAGAAGCUUAGAAUCACACACUCAGGGCAGGCACAGCUACAGUGCAGUUCAAGUCACUCACUGCUGCAUAACAAAGCAUCUUCGAACUUAGUCUCUUAAAACAAUAAUAAUUGGGGUUGGGGAUUUAGCUCAGUGGUAGAGCGCUUGCCUAGGAAGCGCAAGGCCCUGGGUUCGGUCCCCAGCUCUGAAAAAAGAACCAAAAAAUAAAUAAAUAAAUAAAUAAUUUAUUUAGCUGUCUGGGCAGGAGACAGCAGAGAAGCCUCAACUCUAUUCCAGGAAUCACCAGCUGGGAAGGCUCGACAAAGGCAAGAUGCUCAAUCACCACGGAUCCAGCAGUUGACACUGGCUGUUGGUUGGAAUCUCAGCAGUUACUGUCAUCCGGGAUGCAGACAAAACCCUGCAUGUAGCUGCUUGGCCUCUUAAAUCCAUCCUCAACAGCUACAAUAGAACACGACAGACUGGGUAGUUUGUAAUAAGCAGGAAUUUAUUUAGGCCAUGGUUCUGGAGUCUGAAAGCUCAAAAUGGGAGAGGUGAUGUGGUGAGGACCUUCAGGCUGCAUCAUUCCCGAGACAGAAGGGCAAGUGGACAUGUGUGAAUGAGCAAAGCAGAAGGCUAGACCUGCUUUAUAACAGCUCACUCUAGUAUAACUGCCCACUCUAUCAAUAAAAGCAUUAAUAAUUUCCUAUAGA